rnacentral:rRNA from 1 species
AUGGUGAGCUACUUCGAGUGGGUGCAGAACAUUGAGGGGUCCAUGUGGGACGAGGAGAAGGGGGGUACUAAAUAUGAGCUUCUAUCUACAAACUUUUGUCCGCGAUCUAUUUGUGACGACUUCUCUCAAGGUGCUGCAAUGUGCAGUUGCUCCAUGCUUACACCGCCAGCACAAGGUGUGAGGAGGGAUGGAUGGGAGGAAGAGAUGAGGGCAGGGGAAGAGAUACCUCUGUUCAUCCACCAUUACGACCGAGCGCAGCCGGGAUCUCCAAUGCCUCGCGGCGGCGGCGUCCCCUCCAGAACCUCACGGAGGCGUCGGCGGAGACGUAUGUGGGGCAGCGGCCACUACGUCAAGACCAGCCGGGGCUUCGCCUCCUAG